CGCAGUAUCGAGUGUCUGCCAUGAACAGCAAAGGCGAGAACUCAGCUUAUGCUUCUGUUGUCGUCAAAAGAUUCAAAGGAGAGUUUGAUGAAUCUCUGCCAUCUCCCAGACUGCAAAGCAGAAAGUUCGGCUUUCAAGGUAAUCGUGGUGACGGUUUUUAUGUAAUCUUCUUGUUGGUGUUUUAGUCUCUCCUGUUUACCCUGAUCAUCUGAAGUGCAUGAUCGCCUCUUCUCAUUGUUUUACUUCUCUAUCUUUGUUCAUUUCAUCUAGAUGAUGGC